rnacentral:rRNA from 1 species
AUUGAACGCUGGCGGCAGGCCUAACACAUGCAAGUCGAGCGGAUGAGAGGAGCUUGCUUCUCGAUUCAGCGGCGGACGGGUGAGUAAUGCCUAGGAAUCUGCCUGGUAGUGGGGGACAACGUUUCGAAAGGAACGCUAAUACCGCAUACGUCCUACGGGAGAAAGCAGGGGACCUUCGGGCCUUGCGCUAUCAGAUGGGCCUAGGUCGGAUUAGCUAGUUGGUGAGGUAAUGGCUCACCAAGGCGACGAUCCGUAACUGGUCUGAGAGGAUGAACAGUCACACUGGAACUGAGACACGGUCCAGACUCCUACGGGAGGCAGCAGUGGGGAAUAUUGGACAAUGGGCGAAAGCCUGAUACAGCCAUGCCGCGUGUGUGAAGAAGGUCUUCGGAUUGUAAAGCACUUUAAGUUGGGAGGAAGGGUUGUACGUUAAUACCGUGCAAUUUUGACGUUACCAACAGAAUAAGCACCGGCUAACUUCGUGCCAGCAGCCGCGGUAACAC